CUGCCUUAUACAGGGGGAUAACAGUUAGAAAUGACUGCUAAUACCGCAUAAGCGCGCAGUGCCGCAUGGUACGGUGUGAAAAACUCCGGUGGUAUAAGAUGGACCCGCGUCUGAUUAGCCAGUUGGCGGGGUAACGGCCCACCAAAGCGACGAUCAGUAGCCGACCUGAGAGGGUGACCGGCCACAUUGGGACUGAGACACGGCCCAAACUCCUACGGGAGGCAGCAGUGGGGAAUAUUGCACAAUGGGGGAAACCCUGAUGCAGCAACGCCGCGUGAGUGAAGAAGUAUUUCGGUAUGUAAAGCUCUAUCAGCAGGGAAGAAGAUGACGGUACCUGACCAAGAAGCCCCGGCUAACUACGUGCCAGCAGCCGCGGUAAUACGUAGGGGGCAAGCGUUAUCCGGAUUUACUGGGUGUAAAGGGAGCGCAGACGGCAGUGCAAGUCUGGAGUGAAAGCCCGGGGCCCAACCCCGGAACUGCUCUGGAAACUGUGCGGCUAGAGUGCUGGAGGGGCAGGCGGAAUUCCUAGUGUAGCGGUGAAAUGCGUAGAUAUUAGGAGGAACACCAGUGGCGAAGGCGGCCUGCUGGACAGUAACUGACGUUGAGGCUCGAAAGCGUGGGGAGCAAACAGGAUUAGAUACCCUGGUAGUCCACGCCGUAAACGAUGA
rnacentral:rRNA from 1 species